AUGAUCGGGAUAACAGUGGAAACGGCUGCUAAUACCGGAUACGCUCAAAAUGAACUUUUUGAGGAAAGAUGGCCUCUGCUUGCAUGCUAUCACGUAAGGAUGAGUCCGCGUCCCAUUAGCUUGUUGGCGGGUAACGGCCCACCAAGGCAACGAUGGGUAGCCGAUUUGAGAGGAUGAUCGGCCACACUGGAACUGAAACACGGUCCAGACUCCUACGGGAGGCAGCAGUGGGGAAUAUUGCGCAAUGGGCGAAAGCCUGACGCAGCGACGCCGCGUGAGGGAUAGAAGGUUUUCGGAUCGUAAACCUCUGUCAGAAGGGAAGAAACUACGUUGUGCUAAUCAGCAGCGUACUGAACGGUACCUUCAAAGGAAGCACCGGCUAACUCCGUGCCAGCCGCAGC
rnacentral:rRNA from 1 species